GAUCUGGCAUUGGUGGAGGUAAUCUCUGAGGAGGGAUUUUGUGGCGCAUGCACGAUAGCCUCCUAUUACUUUCCUAUGGGAAAGCAUUGGAUUGGCUGAGAUCAUCAAUUCUGAUGAUCUCAGCCAAGGAGGAGGAUCGGAGGCGGGGCUAGGACUGGCGGACCUACAUGCUAUGUUUACAGCAGGCAGGGUAAGUGCUAGAUGGACCUGGCACCCAGACCAUUUCAUUAAGCGGAAGUGGUCUGGGUGCCUAUAGUGGUCCUUUAAGAUGCCUAGCGACUGUGCGCAUGUUUAGGCAUCUAACAGCGAAUGCAGUAUGCGUUCAUAUGCGCUCUGCAAUUUUUACAGCGGUGCCAUACGCACACAUGUGCUGUGAGCAGCAACAAAUUGACAUACUGAACUGGUUUUGCCGCGUAAUGAAAUAAAAUAAAAUAUUACGAAUUUUAAGACAAUUUUAGCUUAACCAAUAACUAACUUUUAGCUGUUAACUGCUUUUUGUUCCUGUUAGGUUGUGCUAAAAAUGUGACACCUCUUUAAGUAUAAUUGUAUUUUGAAAGUAUUAUAAAGUAUUUCUACAUUUUAUUACACAUCUGUUUUAUUUCACAAAGUGAGAUAUAUUAUUAAACCGGCAAUACUAUAAUAAAUAUAACUGUAUAUAGGGUAUAUAUGCUAUAGGAUUGUAGGUAAAAGAUCAAUCCACAGGAACAUUCUAUUGGUUUCCAUGGUGACUGUUCCUGUUUCAGGCGUAGAAUACUCAGCAGGGACAUUCCGUUGGUUUCCAUGGUGAUUGUUUCAGCUGUACAGCAAUUGGCAGAAGCAUUCCGUUGGUUUCCAUGGUGAUUGUUUCAGUUGUAGUGCAAUCAGGAAGAACUUUCUGCUGGUUUCUGCUGUAGUACAAUGAAAAAGAACAUUCUAUUGGUUUCCACUUUGAUUGGUUUCCAUGGUGAUUGUCCAGAACUCCUGUAGGUCUAACCUGCUAAAAUAGUAAUGGAAAACCGUGGGCCCCAGAUGUUUUUAGAUUCCAACACCUAUAAUGCUCUGCAAAACAAUGACUAAAGGUAAUUAUGGGAGUAGUAGUCCAACAAUAUGUGGGGAUGGUUAAUAACAUGUGUGUCAUAGUGCUGGCAGUUUACAGCAUGGCAUCCACUGUGCCCCCAAAUAACUCCUCAUAUAUCUCAAUGGGGGAGGAGGGGGUCUUUAUACCCAUGCCAAAUAAAGGGGAAUAAUGGGGGUCUUUAUACCCAUGCCAAAUAAAGGGAAUAAUGGGGGGGCCUUUAUACCCAUGCCAAAUAAAGG